UGAACGACAGUGAAAGGGAAAAGUAGCUAUACACUGCCUUAAGGGAGAAAGCAUCGUGACUGUAAGUGCUUUUAGGAAAAGAAUAGUGAACGAACACCUUGGAGUCGGUCUGCUGAAAUUGAUUAGGCAGAUCCGCCUGCCUCAGCGUUAAAUGAGCUAAAGCGAGCCUAUAAAGCUUAUUAGGGUGGUACCGCGGGAAACAACCUCUCGUCCCUUAC
rnacentral:ncRNA from 1 species